UUCUGUUGUUUUUGUUAGAUUGCGGGUCUAUACAUGCAGUCGAACGCUUCUUUUUCCACCGGAGCUUGCUCCACCGGAAAAAGAGGAGUGGCGAACGGGUGAGUAACACGUGGGUAACCUGCCCAUCAGAAGGGGAUAACACUUGGAAACAGGUGCUAAUACCGUAUAACAAUCAAAACCGCAUGGUUUUGAUUUGAAAGGCGCUUUCGGGUGUCGCUGAUGGAUGGACCCGCGGUGCAUUAGCUAGUUGGUGAGGUAACGGCUCACCAAGGCCACGAUGCAUAGCCGACCUGAGAGGGUGAUCGGCCACAUUGGGACUGAGACACGGCCCAAACUCCUACGGGAGGCAGCAGUAGGGAAUCUUCGGCAAUGGACGAAAGUCUGACCGAGCAACGCCGCGUGAGUGAAGAAGGUUUUCGGAUCGUAAAACUCUGUUGUUAGAGAAGAACAAGGAUGAGAGUAACUGUUCAUCCCUUGACGGUAUCUAACCAGAAAGCCACGGCUAACUACGUGCCAGCAGCCGCGGUAAUACGUAGGUGGCAAGCGUUGUCCGGAUUUAUUGGGCGUAAAGCGAGCGCAGGCGGUUUCUUAAGUCUGAUGUGAAAGCCCCCGGCUCAACCGGGGAGGGUCAUUGGAAACUGGGAGACUUGAGUGCAGAAGAGGAGAGUGGAAUUCCAUGUGUAGCGGUGAAAUGCGUAGAUAUAUGGAGGAACACCAGUGGCGAAGGCGGCUCUCUGGUCUGUAACUGACGCUGAGGCUCGAAAGCGUGGGGAGCAAACAGGAUUAGAUACCCUGGUAGUCCACGCCGUAAACGAUGAGUGCUAAGUGUUGGAGGGUUUCCGCCCUUCAGUGCUGCAGCUAACGCAUUAAGCACUCCGCCUGGGGAGUACGACCGCAAGGUUGAAUAGAAACUUAGCGGAGGA
rnacentral:rRNA from 1 species